rnacentral:rRNA from 1 species
GACGACGCUGGCGGCGUGGAUUAGGCAUGCAAGUCGAACGGUAUCAUCCUUCGGGGUGAGAGAGUGGCGAACUGGUGAGUAACACGUAGGUUAUCUACCCUCAAGACGGGGACAACCCGGGAAACUUGGGCUAAUACCGGAUGUGAGCAACUUUUAGUUGUUUGAAAGGUGGCGUAAGCUGUCGCUUGGGGAUGAGCCUGCGUCCUAUUAGUUAGUUGGUGAGGUAACGGCUCACCUAGGCAAUGAUAGGUGGGCGGCCUUAACGGGUGGUCGCCCACACUGGGAUUGAGAUACGGCCCAGACUCCUACGGGAGGCAGCAGUCGAGAAUAGUCUACAAUGGUCGGAAGACUGAUAGUGCGACGCCGCGUGAACGAUGAAUCCCUUCGGGGUGUAAAGUUCUUUUAUAUGUGAGCAGUGCUUCUUAUAUUAACAGUAUGGGGAGAGAGAUAUUAGCAUAUGAAUAAGCAACGGCUAACUCCGUG